ensembl:snRNA U5 U5 spliceosomal RNA
CUUUUCUGGUUUCUCUUCAGAGCGUGUAAAUCUUUUGCUUUCUCCCAAAGAUUUCCAUGGAGACGAACAUUUAGAAGUUUCUAUCCAAUAUUUGGAGGCUUUCUUUUGUUGAGGCU